rnacentral:rRNA from 1 species
UUCCGGUUGAUCCUGCCGGAGGACAUUGCUAUUGGGAUUCGAUUUAGCCAUGCUAGUCGCGCGAAUCAGAUUCGCGGCAGAUAGCUCAGUAACACGUGGCCAAGCUACCCUUCAGACCAGAAUAACCUCGGGAAACUGAGGCUAAGACUGGAUACGGGACGCCUGCUGGAAUGCAGCGUCCUCCAAACGUUUCGGCGCUGAAGGAUGCGGCUGCGGCCGAUUAGGUAGACGGUGGGGUAACGGCCCACCGUGCCAAUAAUCGGUACGGGUGAUGAGAGUCAGAGCCCGGAGACGGAAUCUGAGACAAGAUUCCGGGCCCUACGGGGCGCAGCAGGCGCGAAACCUUUACACUGCACGCCAGUGCGAUAGGGGGAUCCCAAGUGCACAGGCAUAGUGCCUGUGCUUUUCGGUACCCUAAGGCGGUACCAGAAUAAGGGCUGGGCAAGACCGGUGCCAGCCGCCGCGGUAAUACCGGCAGCCCGAGUGAUGGCCGAUUUUAUUGGGCCUAAAGCGUCCGUAGCUGGCCACGCAAGUCCAUCGGAAAAUCCACCCGCUCAACGGGUGGGCGACCGGUGGAAACUGCGUGGCUUGGGACCGGAAGGCGCGACGGGUACGUCCGGGGUAGGAGUGAAAUCCCGUAAUCCCGAACGGACCGCCGAUGGCGAAAGCACGUCGCGAAACGGAUCCGACAGUGAGGGACGAAAGCCAGGGUCUCGAACCGGACUAGAUACCCGGGUAGUCCUGGCCGUAAACAAUGUCUGCUAGUGUGCUCGCUACGAGCGGUGCUGUGCGCAGAGCCGCUAGCAGACCGCUGGUAGUACGUCCGCAGGAUGAAACUAAGGAAUGGCGGGGGGAGCCAUACAA